GUGCUCACUUCGGCAGCACAUAUACUAAAAUUGGAACCAUCCAGAGAAGGUUAGCAUGGCCCCUGCACAAGGAUGACAUGCAAAUUCAUGAAGUGCUCCAUAUUUUU
rnacentral:snRNA from 1 species